GUUCUGUUCAGUAUUUGGCAAUCACUUCAUCCACUACUGCAGUGCACCCACCCUUGGGCCUGGGGGGAGGGAGUGGGUUGAAAAACUGCUCAAGAAACAGAAGUUUAGCAAGGGUCAUGAAGAAUACUGCAAGUGAAACUGCAGAGAGAGGUUACGUAGGCAGAAAGCAAGUCAACAAAAGCACUUAGUCAGGAUCCGUAACUUGAAAUUGACUCCUUUGGAAAUUGCCAUAGAACCCUUAAUGGACAUCAUCGGCUGGACCUGGGAUCUGAUGAAUCCCACAAAAGUCAGCACCUUCUACAGAACAGAUGCCCUGAUCACCAAGGACUUGGUACUGAUUUAGAGAGAAGAGAGCAGCUCCUAGCAGCAUCAACAUCUAUUUGUCGCUUAUUUGCCCUGCAGCAAUUCACCUGCCUUUCCUUCUCCCAUCCUUUUUCUGGAUAUGCCGCAGAAGGAUCCGUGCCAGAAGCAAGCCUGUGAGAUACAGAAAUGUUUACAAGCCAACAGCUACAUGGAAUCAAAGUGUCAGGCUGUCAUCCAAGAACUGCGUAAGUGUUGUGCUCAGUAUCCCAAGGGAAGAUCUGUCGUCUGUUCAGGAUUUGAAAAAGAAGAGGAAGAAAACCUAACACGGAAGUCUGCAUCAAAGUAAAGUUCUUCUGAAGUGCUGCUCCAUGUUUCCACCAAAUGAAUUUUUUUUAUCCUCCUGACUCUUCAGGCCAGGUAGCAGCAAAUAGCAAAUGAAAAAGUCAGCUACAAAAGUUAAUGAAUAUGCCAUCUAUGCAGAACAGGCAGAAAUAUAAACACAUUAAAAGACAAAUAUGUAGAAUGUAAUAUACUGAGCUGCUAAAAUAAACCUGUUUAAGA
rnacentral:lncRNA from 1 species